GAUAGAGCUUUCUGUCAUUCUGUAUUUUUUUAAUCACGUUCUGUAAUCUGAAACAUCUGACUUGUGGUUCAGUGUUUGUUUCCAUUUAAGCCAAGUGACACAUUUCAGAGUUGAUCCAGCAUGGAAUUUGGAGGAAGGAGCUCUUGAAGCACUGGGACAGAAGAGUGGGAAGAAACGUUCUGCUGGACCCAGGCUUCUUUCUCAUGUAAAUGGCUUGACCUAGCGAGGAAAAGCUUUUGCUGAAGAGUGAGGGGAAUUUUGAAAUACUAACCACAAAAUGUUAUUUUCUGUCACUAAUGUGCAUCAUCAAAACUCACUUCUCUAGCACUCAACAAAUGUAAUUUGCAUUUAAAAUUGAAGUGGAUUGCCAAAAGUCUUACAUCAGUCUCACAUCAAAGACAGCAGAAUUUCCUAGAAUUCAGGGACUCUGAUACUUACUGUCAGAGCAAUCUGUUUAACUGCCUAGCCCCAACAUCUGCAUUAGCAGCUCAUUGCAUUUCACCUGUGCAGUAGAAAUAAUAAUUUUGUCCUAUUUGAGAGAAGGCUUAGCUUCCUUCCUAGAUGUUCUAAGUGUAAACUGUAAAUACAUAUGCAGUGUUCCUAAUUUCUUUCAGUCUUCCUUAUCCUCUUCAAAGAGUUUCCAGAUCUUGCUCUUUUUCAACCUUUUAUUUACCUUUGAUUUCAUUUCUGCCAUUUCCAUCUCCUGUUCUUAAUAACGUGCCUCCCUCAGAUUGUUGCUGAAGAAUGCCAAACAGUGUUUGUGGCUCGAUUCAAGAAAGAGAUUAAGGAGGAGAUCACAAUUUCCUGCAUCCAAAGGUAUCAGAAGAUUGUUAGCUAAUUUAUGAAAACAUUCUGUAAUCAUUGCUCAUUGUUGUCCCUGUUGACUGAUGGUACGAGUUCCACAGGCUUAAAUUCGGGCACAAGAUGAGUCCUAAAAUAACACUGUAGAGUUUCUCCUUGUGCAGCAAGCGACUCUGCUCAUCCCAAGCACCUGGUGACUGCAACCUGAGUGACAUGGUUCAAAAUGUCAUUGAGGGAGAGAGAAAUCUGACCAAUGGAUUGAUAACUGAGUAAUACCUGUGAGAUGUACAAAGAAGGAGGAAGAACUGAGUCUGUUUUAAAGAUGAGUAAAUUGAGAUGAGGUGCAGGUGGAGUUUGUGAUCAGCAAAAGCAGGAGUGUUACAAGCAGUAUGCACUCUGUGUCAUCUGUAGAUGUAAUUCAACUGUUUCAAGUCUGCUAAAACAGUGGUAGCUACAUGGGUGAGGCAGGACUUGGGCAGGUAACAUGCAGUUUUACUUCAGUUGCUGCUGGGGUGAGAGUCCCUACCUCCUUCCCCAUGGGAAGGUACCCUAACCCAGGAACACUUCAUGCAGCACUGAAAUGGAGGCCUUCACAGAAAGAUAAACCUCAGUAUGCUUCUCCAGUGAAAUAUAUUACACAUUUGUUAGUUUUUGGGUAACAGCCAAAUCAUUCCUUGUCCCUCCCCACACACGCUUCCAUUUAUAAAUGAAGUCUUCAGUCUUUUGAAUGUCAUACAAAACUGUUCAAAACCAGACUUGAGCAAUUGAAAUUCAAUUAGUUCAAUCAGAGUGAUUCAAUUGACACAGCUGAGUUCUGCAAUCUGAACAAAAGAUUUUGCUGUAAUUGUGCAGGAAUAUAUAAAUGCUGAUAUGAUUGUCUUGUCCUCAGCCCUCCAGAAGGAUGUAUUGCAUUUUAAAACUUACUGGCAUACACCCCAUUUUCUACUUGAUGCUUCUGUGGUGCCUCGGCCCCUCAUAAAAUUGGAGGUGAACAAAAUCCAGUGAAAUACAAGGAAGUGUGUUUCCUGUG
ensembl:lncRNA